rfam:TPA: Bos taurus chromosome 6, whole genome shotgun sequence.
UCCCUGGUAGCUCAGCUGGUAAAGAAUCUGCCUGCAAUGCAGGAGUCCUCAGUUCGAUUCCUGGGUCAGGGAG